UAACCGUAGUACCAAGUAAGAAAGAAAAAUGUAUAAGUUAUUAGCUGUCCUCCUUGUAGUAGCUGCACUUGGAUGUGCUGUGAAUGGAUGCGUGUGUCCAAGGACAUACCUUCCUGUGUGCUCCAGUCUGGGAAACUCGUAUGCCAACAGCUGUACCUUUUCAUGCUUUGCUGCUGAAGGCGAAACAUUCGCCUGUGAUGGCUCUUGCCCUUGUGCGACAUAGAUUUCUGAAUUGAAAAGGU